CGGAUUAUCAUAUUUUUUUCAUCUUUACUUUCCAAUUUGUACCAAAAUGGGUGAUGUCCAUUAGGCUUUUUCAAAAAUGUAUAUCUCAUCAUCUGAAUGUACUAGAAACAUUAGUAUUUUACUCUAGCGUUUCUUUUGCAUCAAUCUGUACGAAUGUGGAAUAAAAAGACGAUGUCACUUUUUUGGGUUUAUAAAACACUGUGUGUCGUGAACUCGUGAAUUUCUUAAAGUGUGACUAACUUAUGGAUGGCUACAUAUCGAAACCAGAUAAAUUUAAUAUUUAAUAAACAAUGAAUUCGUAGCCCCCACUUACAACUUGUGAACCCCCUUUUUCGUUUCAUGCCAACUUAGACCCCCAAUGAAUCCCUUGUGGACUCCUGGGGUCCACCUGAACCACUUUGGGAAUCACUGUUUACAAUGUAAACUCUAGGUCCGCACCGAUAUACUCAAAUAACUAGAUUUGUAUAGCAUACUGCAGUUGCGCAGGACGUAUGAAACGAACGACCCUUUCCUCUGCGGCCACUGCAGCGACCGGACGUGUCCCGAGUGCUGCCUGUUUCCUCAUCCUUGGUGCUGAACAACCCCAUCAAAAGAGAGGCUCAACACUCUAGGCGAUGAAUUUAAGAGGGAAGGAGGCUCCGACGAGGCCGGAACGCGUUUGUCCACCUGAACGCGCAUACAAAAAUAUAAAUACUCAAACUGGAAAUCUACUGAAGGACCCGUGGAGCAACUUAUGCUACAUUCGCCAUGUUGUCAUAACAGAGGAAACAACUAUUUCCAUUAUUUACCCCUUACCCAACUUCCUACAAGAUGCCUUUCCCCACGAUUAUGGCUACGAACAAACGGACUUGAUGAUUUCACAGGGGAAUCCCUACUAUUACUUCGAUCUGCUUUUGAUUAAGACAUUUGGCGUCGCUUUCUGGGAUCCCAUAUGACAUUAAAUAUCCGUUUAAAUAUAUUUAGCCCAACCAUCGUCUUUUGCGGAAGACCAUGAACGGUUAAAUAUAUUUAAACGGAUCAUGCUUGAUCAACCCUGGGUAGUUUUGUCUUAGCCAUUUGUUUUGUACAUUGUACGCCGUAUAUUAUAUUAAUUUUGAUUAUCUAAAGAUUAAUACAGUUUUCUCACUUAAAUAUUUUUACAAUAUUUUAGUAUUAUUUUAAUGUAACCUAAUUUCUAUUAGGUAUAAUUUGGAAAUAUUUAAGUAUACGGAUUAAUUUUUAUCCUUACUUUGAGUUUUAAAUUUGGAAGUAAUUUCUUUAGGUUUAUUUGUAGGUCAAAAUAUUGCAUGCUUUGGCGUAUAUUGCCUGCCUGAGAAGAAAAAUGUUCAGAUGGGCAAUGAACCUGCAGUAUUAUGAUUCCUAUGUCGCAUGGUAUUAGGACGCGGUAAUAACCCUAGGACAGCAUCGGAGGCAAGUUUAUAAUGUACGACCUAACCUAUCGGUAUGGAAGUAUGUGACGACGCCUAAGUUGUUAGUACUGGGUGAAAAACUGUGGAAAAUGCCUGCGGUCGGUCACUUGGUUCUAAUGGGGGUCUAUCUGUCUAUGUCCGACUUACUUACAUAACCAUCUAACAAGUAUAACUAACUCCGACUUAAAGUCUGUAAAUUAUCGCUACUAGAACAUCUGACCUUGUAAUUUCACGGUUUUAGGUCCUUGGUAUAGCGCGUAGACACUAAACCUACAGAAGUGCCUGUGGCCGGGGAAUCAAUCGAGUUACUCUGAUAUCACUUACUUUUGUGGUGCAGCAAGAAAUAUUAAGUUACGAACGUAUUCAGUUUUCAUACAUAAUUUCACAAUUAAUAAAUUGUAUUAUAGUUUCAUUUGGCUGUACCACAA